rnacentral:rRNA from 1 species
GAUGAACGCUAGCGGCAGGCUUAACACAUGCAAGUCGAGGGGUAUAGUUCUUCGGAGCUAGAGACCGGCGCACGGGUGCGUAACGCGUAUGCAAUCUACCUUUUGCAGAGGGAUAGCCCAGAGAAAUUUGGAUUAAUACCUCAUAGUAUGUGAGAAUGGCAUCAUUUUCACAUUAAAGUCACAACGGCAAAAGAUGAGCAUGCGUCCCAUUAGCUUGUUGGUAAGGUAACGGCUUACCAAGGCAACGAUGGGUAGGGGUCCUGAGAGGGAGAUCCCCCACACUGGUACUGAGACACGGACCAGACUCCUACGGGAGGCAGCAGUGAGGAAUAUUGGACAAUGGGCGCAAGCCUGAUCCAGCCAUGCCGCGUGCAGGAUGACGGUCCUAUGGAUUGUAAACUGCUUUUGUACAGGAAGAAACACUGGUUCGUGAACCAGCUUGACGGUACUGUAAGAAUAAGGAUCGGCUAACUCCGUGCCAGCCGCCGCGGUAAUAC